GGUGGUGUUGCUGAGGCUCAUCUAGGUCAGACUGGAUUUCUUCAUCGACAUCCAUCAAGGGCUCGCCAUCUUCAUCACGAUCGGGGAAGGGGAACUUACUCAUCGCUUUCGUCGCCCAUGAUUGAUUCCGAAAAUCAACCUCUGACGCAGCAGAAGCGAGAACCAGCUGUGCGUAUACUCGCUACAAGUAAGUGUUCGUCUGUAUAAAUGCCUUUAUUAUAUAUAUACCUCCUGUUGUUGUUGUUGUACUCUUGAAUUGCUGGAUUAUGUGUAAAUUUUAUGCCAAAAUAGCAUGAAAUCAAGAUAAAAUUGACAGAGCUGAAAUACAUGGCAAUGGAUGCAGAGAAUCUGUGAAAUAAUUUGAGGAUAAUUUACUAUCCCGUUAAGGAAAGAAACAAUUUGCCGGUUUGAAACCGCAAAAUGCAGUGAGUAGACAAAGGACUUAUAGUGUAAGGGCUGAAGUGGGCGGCAAAGAGUAUCGUGAACUAGGGUUUCGAUCUGAAUUCCAAGUUCCAUUACCCUUGUCCAAAGCUCAUGCGGCACCACCACCAUUCUGUUUUACCGC